UUGACGCCCAUAAAUCCCCACCGCGUUUCCAUAUGUAGGGGACCCCCAUUUUGGUGGCGGGAAAAAACUAACCACCAGCAGCAGCCAUCAAUGGCAGCCAUAGGUUGAUUGAGAUGAGACAUUGAACAACAGAGAGGUGGUACCUGGAUAAGCUGCAGCCGUGCGGCUGCCAUCGAAAUUUGAGAUACAUCAAGUCAGGACGGCCAUUGUUAACACAAUUGAAUUCCUUUUCGAGGAAUGGGCACGUGGAUACGUUGUACAGCGGGUAUGAUUCAUCCACUAUCCAAUUUCCCUGGAACAUGUCACAGCCGAUUGCCACAACUGAUGGCGAUAAAAUGCUGAUGACGAUAAGGAAGAACACUCGCAAAUUGGGGUUUAUGUUCGACUUCAUUUUCGAAGCUGCAGAGAGAUAAGGGGGGGAAGAAGAAGAAUGAAAAGCCCCUUUUUUAUUCCGUGAAUGAGUGUGGUGGAGAGUCGAAUUUAUAGGGUGACGUUUUAAUUAUGUGAUUAUAUUUUUGUAAUAUAUUUUGAGUUAAAUGCAUUUUACCCUCUCUCAUUUGGGGGGCAAUUUUGGCCCAAAGCCUUCAAAGUGA
rnacentral:lncRNA from 1 species